rnacentral:rRNA from 1 species
AUGGGUAAGUUGGAUGCAACAGUUGGUGAGGGGUGGCCAAACGGCCGCGUAAACUUGAAUGGGGAAGUGGGAGCAUUCUUUAGAAAUCAAAGAGGGGUGCGGCAGGGAGACUCAAUUUCGCCACUUCUUUUCAAUACCUUGGUUGAUGCCCUUGCCUCAAUCCUGGACCAUGCCAAGGAGGCAAGUCAUAUCUCUGGUGUGGCCUCCGGGAUUAUACAUGGGGGCUUGUCACAUUUGCAAUACGCAGAUGACACCAUCAUAUUUAUCAAGAAUUCAGAGCAGGAAAUAUCGAACUUAAAAUUCUUGUCAAUGUGCUUCGAGGAGAUGUCGGGGCUCAAGAUAAACUUUGAUAAAAGCGAGGCAUUUGUAACGGGAGGUGAUUUAGAAUCCCAGCUAAGAGCGGCGCACAUGAUGAACUGUGAAUUAGGGUCCAUCCCAAUGAAAUACCUGGAAAUGCCUAUAUCAUCACAGGCAUUAUCGAUGGGAGAUUUCCAACCUGUCAUGGAUAUGACUGCGGCUAGGGUGGAGCCUUGGCAAGGAAAAAUCCUUGCCUCGGUUGGGAGGCUAGUUCUCAUCAACGAUUGCCUCACAAACAUCCCUAUGUUCAUUAUGGGCUUCUAUCUCCUUCAUGAAGGUACUCACGCAAAGCUGGAAAAGGUGCGAUCCCGCUUCUUUUGGGCGAAGGAGGACGGGGAACAAAAAUACCACCUGGUCAAGUGGGAUAAGAUAUGCGAACCAAAGGAGGUGGGAGGCCUGGGGGUCAUAAACACCAAGGUUCUGAAUUGGUGCCUUAUGACUCAAUGGGCAUGGAAGAUAUUAACGGGGCAAGGGGGUUUGUGUCUCCAAUCUUCAAGCUGA